ACUCCUACGGGAGGCAGCAGUGGGGAAUAUUGCACAAUGGGGGAAACCCUGAUGCAGCCAUGCCGCGUGUGUGAAGAAGGCCUUCGGGUUGUAAAGCACUUUCAGUAGGGAGGAAGGUAGUGUAGUUAACACCUGCAUUAUUUGACGUUACCUACAGAAGAAGCACCGGCUAACUCCGUGCCAGCAGCCGCGGUAAUACGGAGGGUGCGAGCGUUAAUCGGAAUUACGUGGGCGUAAAGCGCAUGCAGGCGGCCUGUUAAGUCAGAUGUGAAAGCCCGGGGCUUAACCUCGGAAUUGCAUUUGAAACUGGCAGGCUAGAGUCUUGGUAGAGGGGUUAGAAUUUCAGGUGUAGCGGUGAAAUGCGUAGAGAUCUGAAGGAAUACCGAGUGGCGAAGGCGGCCCCUGGACAAAGACUGACGCUCAGAUGCGAAAGCGUGGGAGCAAACAGGAUUAGAUA
rnacentral:rRNA from 1 species